rnacentral:lncRNA from 1 species
CUUAGUCUGAUUUUUCGCGUUCUAUCAUAAGCCCUAAAUAGACCAUUUUCAAGAGCAAGAGGAGGUUUAGACUUGCUUGGUAAUAAUUGGAAGGUGGAUUUCAAGGAGACUUAAGAUUGAAAACCAUAUCCACUUGAAGAUUUUCUUGCACCCUUCUUCCUCUCCAUGCUCUAUAGCCAUGGUAGGCUAAGUCCUUGAUACUU